rnacentral:rRNA from 1 species
CGUAGGGGGCGAGCGUUGUCCGAAGUUACUGGGCGUAAAGCGCGCGUAGGCGGGAAAUUAAGUGAGAAGUGAAAGGCUGGGGGCUCAACCUCAUGCAGUGCUUCUCAUACUGGUUUUCUUGAGGGCGGUAGAGAAAAGUGGAAUGGCUGGUGUAGCGGUGAAAUGCGUAGAUAUCAGUCGGAACACCGGUGGCGAAGGCGGCUUUUUGGGCCGUUCCUGACGCUGAGGCGCGAAAGCCAGGGGAGCGAACGGGAUUAGAUACCCCGGUAGUCCUGGCCGUAAACGAUGGAUACUAGGUGUUGGGGGUAUCGACCCCUCCAGUGCCGCAGCUAACGCAAUAAGUAUCCCGCCUGGGGAGUACGGCCGCAAGGUUG